CUGAAUGCAGCCGAGGGGCGAGCGCGCGGGCUCGCACGGAUUAGCCGUGCUUUCCCAUGAGCCACAAAAGAAUGCCCGAAUCUGGGACAUCUGUCAUCAAGGGGCAGGCUGCUCAGGAUGCAAGGUAUUGUCAAGAACCCUCUGCUCUACAGUUCUUUGCUGUUCUUGACCCACCUCCUUCAAACUCGGAUUUUCCGUUUCUCUCUUCUCCUAAGAGCUGCCUGCUGCCUUCUGGAGCUGCUUUAGAACCACAGAAGCCUGGAUCAUCUCUACAAAGGGUGCAAGAUGAAGGUGUUAGGACAACUUAAAGAGACGGGAGGUGCUAGGAAUCGGCAGGUGCCUGAUUGCCAAGGCAGGGACUGAUGGUGGGAGAUGUUGUUACAGAACUGGGCUUCCUGAUAGCAAUGAGGAUGAAAAGAUUCCAAAACAAUAGAUUUAACCAGCAGAAUCAAGGUUCUCCAGGACAAGAGAAAAAGAGAAUCCUGAAGGCAUGGUUCCCAGACGGGGUGAAAUAGUUAAUACAGAGAUUCUUCUAACUCAGGCCCAAACAUCUCCACACUGUCCCCAUCCUCAAGCCCUGCUGUCCACCCCACCCCUAUUUGUACAGGAGCCAUUUAAUAGAGCAAACAGUAUUCGUUUGGCAGUUUAUUUGUGCUGCACCAAAAAAAAAAACAGAGAAGCCAAAACUGAAAGAAAAAGGAAAAACAAAAAACCAGAAAUGGAGAAGUGUUCCCUUUCCAGACAAUCAUGCAAGAGAAGAAGAUUCCAUGAAGCUCACAUUCCAACAUUGGAGACAGCAUGGAGCUGUCAGUGACCUCCCCACUUCCAAGCAGAAAUCGUCACAUGUAAGAAGGAAGAAAAGAGAUAGGGAUGCGCUGAGGCUGGACUACCCGAAGGCAUCGGGGUGUCCAGAGAAGCUGGGCUUGAGGGAGGCAGCAGCUCCAACACCUUAGAGCCUUGGGAACAGUCCCUGUGACAGCCACACUGAUUGAGAGGAAAAAGCACAGCGGGAGAAGUUGAUCUCUUUCCACUGGGAGAUUGAUCUGCACUAGGGGCCUUGGAAAAAUGCAAAGGUGCUAUUUCUUGAAUGCGUAUUAUGUGCCAAGCACCAUUCUAGGUGCUAAGGAUACAGCUAUUAUCAUAGAAGAGUCCCCAUCCUGAGGAAGCUUACAUCCCACCAAGGAAGAUAGGAAACAAAAAAUAGGAGGUGCUGCAUUCAAGAGUGAAGCAAGCACAAAAGGAAAGGAAAAAUCUCUCCCUGGAGGAGAAUGCAGACAGACAGACAGACGCUAUUUGUAUCUUUGCGUCCGAAGCACAGCAGCUAACACACAGGCAUAUCAACCUGUUCAUUUCUAAAUGCCAGAAGAGAGAUGAGACAGAGAGAAAAAAAACUAAGUCAGACUGAAAUUGGGCCUUCUACCACUAGACUGAAAAGACCUAGAAUUCAUCGACAGCACAGAUACAACAAAAGCCUUCAUGGAAUACAAAAACUCCAAUUUUCAUAGGAUAUCCUUGACCUCAGUGAUGAAUCAUGAGGGCGUAGAGGGUUGAGAAAAAAGUAGGCACAUCACUACUGUUUCUAACCAGAUAUCUCGAAGCUAUUUCAGUUCCAGGAAUUCUGUCUGCUCCUGUUUUUACUUCAUUAGCAAUUCAACAUGUCUGAUUUGCCCACACAAUACUUUCCAGCUACUUUACCCAUUUGACCUGGAACAAAGUGAAAGCACAUUUUGCCCAGUUGAAAGGUCUCCUGGCAGGUUGGUUAGCAACAGGCUUGCCAGUCUGGGUUCUGUUAGCAAAGAAUAAACACAUUUCAUUAGACAAU
rnacentral:lncRNA from 1 species